rfam:Schistosoma mattheei strain Denwood, Zambia genome assembly, scaffold: SMTD_scaffold0003118
GCACUACUGAGGAGUCCCACAAUAGGACAAAACGGCCGUCCAGUGU